rnacentral:rRNA from 1 species
UACAGAGGUCCCAAGCGUUGUUCGGAUUCAUUGGGCGUAAAGCGCGCGUAGGCGGGUUGGUAAGUCCGCUGUGAAAGCCCGGAGCUUAACUCCGGAGGGUCGGUGGAUACUGCCAGUCUUGAAGGUGCUAGGGGGAGAUGGAAUUACCGGUGUAGCGGUGAAAUGCGUAGAUAUCGGUAGGAACACCAGUGGCGAAGGCGGUCUCCUGGGGCAUUCGUUGACGCUGAGGCGACGAAGCUGGGGGAGCAAACGGG